rnacentral:rRNA from 1 species
UACGGAGGGUGCAAGCGUUAUCCGGAUUCACUGGGUUUAAAGGGUGCGUAGGCGGGUUGGUAAGUCCGUGGUGAGAUCUCCGAGCUUAACUCGGAAACUGCCGUGGAUACUAUCAAUCUUGAAUAUCGUGGAGGUAAGCGGAAUAUGUCAUGUAGCGGUGAAAUGCUUAGAUAUGACAUAGAACACCAAUUGCGUAGGCAGCUUACUACACGAUCAUUGACGCUGAGGCACGAAAGCGUGGGGAGCAAACAGG